rnacentral:rRNA from 1 species
UGGGGAAUAUUGGACAAUGGGCGCAAGCCUGAUCCAGCAAUGCCGCGUGAGUGAUGAAGGCCUUAGGGUUGUAAAGCUCUUUUACCCGGGAWGUAAAUGACAGUACCGGGAGAAUAAGCCCCGGMUAACUCCGUGCCAGCAACCGCGGUAAUAUGU